rnacentral:rRNA from 1 species
GACGAACGCUGGCGGCGUGCUUAACACAUGCAAGUCGAACGGAAAGGCCCUGCUUUUGUGGGGUGCUCGAGUGGCGAACGGGUGAGUAACACGUGAGUAACCUGCCCUUGACUUUGGGAUAAUUUCAGGAAACUGGGGCUAAUACCGGAUAGGAGCUCCUGCUGCAUGGUGGGGGUUGGAAAGUUUCGGCGGUUGGGGAUGGACUCGCGGCUUAUCAGCUUGUUGGUGGGGUAGUGGCUUACCAAGGCUUUGACGGGUAGCCGGCCUGAGAGGGUGACCGGCCACAUUGGGACUGAGAUACGGCCCAGACUCCUACGGGAGGCAGCAGUGGGGAAUAUUGCACAAUGGGCGGAAGCCUGAUGCAGCAACGCCGCGUGCGGGAUGACGGCCUUCGGGUUGUAAACCGCUUUCGCCUGUGACGAAGCGUGAGUGACGGUAAUGGGUAAAGAAGCACCGGCUAACUACGUGCCAGCAGCCGCGGUGAUACGUAGGGUGCGAGCGUUGUCCGGAUUUAUUGGGCGUAAAGGGCUCGUAGGUGGUUGAUCGCGUCGGAAGUGUAAUCUUGGGGCUUAACCCUGAGCGUGCUUUCGAUACGGGUUGACUUGAGGAAGGUAGGGGAGAAUGGAAUUCCUGGUGGAGCGGUGGAAUGCGCAGAUAUCAGGAGGAACACCAGUGGCGAAGGCGGUUCUCUGGGCCUUUCCUGACGCUGAGGAGCGAAAGCGUGGGGAGCGAACAGGCUUAGAUACCCUGGUAGUCCACGCUGUAAACGGUGGGUACUAGGUGUGGGGUCCAUUCCACGGGUUCCGUGCCGUAGCUAACGCUUUAAGUACCCCGCCUGGGGAGUACGGCCGCAAGGCUAAAACUCAAAGGAAUUGACGGGGCCCCGCACAAGCGGCGGAGCAUGCGGAUUAAUUCGAUGCAACGCGUAGAACCUUACCUGGGUUUGACAUGGAUCGGGAGUGCUCAGAGAUGGGUGUGCCUCUUUUGGGGUCGGUUCACAGGUGGUGCAUGCCUGUCGUCAGCUCGUGUCGUGAGAUGUUGGGUUAAGUCCCGCAACGAGCGCAACCCUUGUUCACUGUUGCCAGCACGUUAUGGUGGGGACUCAGUGGAGACCGCCGGGGUCAACUCGGAGGAAGGUGGGGAUGACGUCAAGUCAUCAUGCCCCUUAUGUCCAGGGCUUCACGCAUGCUACAAUGGCUGGUACAGAGAGUGGCGAGCCUGUGAGGGUGAGCGAAUCUCGGAAAGCCGGUCUCAGUUCGGAUUGGGGUCUGCAACUCGACCUCAUGAAGUCGGAGUCGCUAGUAAUCGCAGAUCAGCAACGCUGCGGUGAAUACGUUCCCGGGGCU